rnacentral:rRNA from 1 species
CCCUUAGAUGUUCUGGGCUGCACGCGCGCUACACUGUUCGACGCAGCGAGUCUUAACCUUGACCGAAAGGUUUGGGUAAUCUUCAGCAAAGUCGAACGUGAUGGGGAUCGAUCAUUGCAAUUAUUGAUCGUGAACGAGGAAUUCCUAGUAAGUGCAAGUCAUCAGCUUGCGCUGAUUACGUCCCUGCCCUUUGUACACACCGCCCGUCGCUACUACCGAUUGAAUGGUUUAGUGAGAUCUCUGGAUUGACGCUGGCUAGGGGGCGACCCUUGGCCAGGCUGUCGAGAAACUGCUCAAACUUGAUCAUUUAGAGGAAGUAAAAGUCGUAACA